rnacentral:lncRNA from 1 species
UUUUCCUGUAGCAGCAAAGUGAAACGUAGCACCCUCAGCAAGAUGCAGGUGGAGAGACAGUAUCUACCAAGCACAUCAGAAAUGAUGAAUUUCUGGGCUCGGAAAGGAAGAAGCAAAGGAGCAGUCUGUUUCCUCUUCUGUUUUCUACUGCUAAUAUGUCUUCAUUCAUCAGGCGUGAAAGGACAGACGAGCAAUGUGGAUAAACAAGGUAAGAGACAACACCCAAUUUUAAGAGCAGCUGUGAUGAUUCUCCAGGUCUCCUGCCUCUGGUGAGGUGACUGCUAUCACCUGUUACUUCUCCCCCCAUAUCCCUGUAUUACAUCUGCCUCACAGUCUGGGAUGGUUUCAUCUGUUGGGGUGCCAAGGUUUCAUCUGUGAUGAACUCAACUGUCA